rnacentral:misc_RNA from 1 species
CAACUGGUAAGAGCUAAUGGACUCCACAAGCUCCUCCAAAAUCUCCACCGCCACCUCCUUCCGACGGCCGUCCAAUCGCCUCCUCUAUGAUCGCCGUUACGGUUGGGUGUAAAAAUCUCUCUCUUUUCUUUCUAAUCUAUGUUUAGUUGUCAGUAUUUCUAUGCGAAGAACAACAAUUAAGGAUAAUUUUAUUAAAGUACUUUUGCUUUGUAGGUUUGAUGAAUGGAAAGAACCCUCAGAGGAAGCUCUAGCUGGUGGCCGGGGAAUGUUCUGCAUAUUGCCUCUGGCAAAAGCUUUCCUGAAUACUGCUACGAACUCGGUACGUUGUGUUUGGGUUCUCUGUUAUGUUAGUAAAUUAUUUGUAAGUUCCUAUUGAUUGGCCGUGUUGAUUGUUUAAUGUGAAUUUUUAUUUUCUAUUUUGUAUGACUGGAGAAUUUUUAUGCACUGAAAACUUUUAUGUCUUGGAGUAGAAUUGAGUUGUUAGUACUUGUGAAAACUUAAAACCCUAAAAUUAAGUACUGCUAUAUGUAAAAGGUUCUAUGAUUUUACCAUUACUAUGAAAUAAAUUUUUAGGACUGGCUUUUACAACCUUAUAUUCAGUCUAUUUGUAUUAAUGGCAAAAUGCUUUGAUUUUGGUAUGUUAAGUUUGUGGUAUUUUGUUAAUUAUUGAUUUAGACAAGAGCUUGGUUGACCCUUUUCCCUUCUCUUUCUUCUCAAAAAAAUUUAAUUGCGUCGGGUCUAUAAGUGGAAGCUCUAGCCCAUCUGUUUUUCUCUUUUUGUUUUUAAUAGAAUUUAGAUGAGGAUUUGUUUCAGACACUGUAUCCAUUGCCUUCUUAAUGUCUGUGGUUAUGCAGUUGAGGAUGAAGUUGUCCUAUUCAAUCUCUCAAUUCAUCUGCUUUGACAUAUCUAGUUUUCCCUUUAACAUGUUGAAUAUGUAUGGGUGAAGAUAUUCUAAAGAUACAAAAAACUUUGAAUCAGGUGAGCAAUAAAAGCGGGUGAAUUAAAAAUUUUCCUGUUUAACAUUUUUUCCCUUAAAGCACUUAAGCUAGAGAUCGUUCCAUGCUCUAGGAUAUCUCCUUGAGAAUUAGCAAUCCCGUAAUUCAAGAAUAGCUAUCCAAAGUAAAUAUAUAACAAUUUGUAUAUCUUUGUACCUUCUCUAUAGAUUAUCUGAAUUACCUUUUACCUUCUUCCUUGAGAUAUUUGAAGAAUAAAGUUCCAUAAGAAAGAGUGCCUGAAGUUCUGCUUUGUUGUAAAGGCCAGGGAUGCAGUAGCUUUGGAGAUUAAGAAUAACUCAGUUCCACAUAAUCAUGUGUGUUACAUAUUGCUCUCUUUGUUGCCCUGGAUUUGUUGAGCGAUAAUUGGACUUGGCAUAUAAUGGUUGCGAGCUCACUACUGGGUUAAAUAUGACACAUAAUCUGAUACCACAAUUCUGGUAAGAUCAGAUAUGAUUUAUGGAGAGCACCUUGAGAAGGGUGAAAAGAAUUUGAAAUUCUCUGGUGAUUAUUGCUGGGACUAAUACUGCUACAUUUCUUCUAAUCAUAAUGUUUUCACUUGAUAAAUUCUCUUCUAAUCAGAUACUUUUUCCCUUUUCUUUCCUAAUUAGUAAGUGGAUUCCAGAAUGACGUGUACUUCCACUGAAACCUACUUUAGCACUUACCAUUUUUGCCAUUCUGGCUGGGCUUAUAGCUCUAAUUUUUACUGUCUUGAUUGUUUAGUUUGCAUUCAUGAGAGCACAAACUCAAGUUUAAAAACCAGGCCUAGCAACAAGAUAAAUAUUUCAGCUUAAUUGACUUCUAUUUACAUUACUUAGAAUUUGACUGACUGAGAGAAGUGAGGCUACCAUUGUAAAUUGAAUGCUUAUUGUUCACAAGCUGUAAUUCAACAAAGCUGCAAUUGGUGGGUUUUUUUAAGUCCAUGUCAUUAAUUAUUUGAAAGAGUAAAAGAUUUUGUGAAGGAGGAAUCUUCAUAAAGGUAGUGGAGAUCUCCGAAUAAAGGAAUUAAAGAUGUAGAGAAGUGGAAGACACGGCUAGUCGGGGAAGUUAUGUUGGUUAUAUCUAUGCUUUUUCAAUUUUACUCAAACCUUUUAAUUUUGGCUAAUUUACCCAAAAUUGCAAAAUCAGUGUCACUUUACCCAUUGGCCAAAGUUGAAAAUAAAUAAAUAAAUAAAUUUUAAUAAUAAACCUAAUAAAAAUUCAUUUUUAAUUUUGGUCUUGGGAAUUGGAGGUGGGGAAGGAGUAAGAAAGAGAAAAAAAAAAUUAAAAAUAUUUCUUAUUUAAAUGAAAUAUUAGAAAUUAUGUAUCAAUUUUGACUAAUUUAUUUCAAUUGAUUAAAAUUGACUCUAAUUUUGCAAUUUAGGGUAAUCAUAAGCCUUAUAUCUAAUAUGUAAUUUGGUGUUUACAAGAGUAGGAACUUGUGAACAUGCCAUUUACUUUGUUGGAAUUUAAUUUGAGGUUACAUUUGCUAGUUAAUGUCAAAAUAAUCUUGCAACUGACCCUCGUUAUCAUUGAUGGAUGCAUUACCUGUAUAUAUUGUUCAUGUGGUUUAAAAGAUUUCAUUUUCUCACAAAAUGACCAAUUCAAUACAUGUUUCAAUGUGCUUGAACUCCUAGUUGAUCUUUGUCAUUUUGAUGCACAGCUGGAUCAAAUGAAUAUUCUUUGAUUGUGCCAGCAUAUUUUUAUUUUGUUUUUGCAGUUACUUUUUUUCCCCCCUAAUUUGGAAUAUGAGACAGAAAAGUCCAAGGUUGUUGACUAUAGAGAAAAUUAAAAUAGUUAUGUCCUUUUUACUUACAUCCUCUCUUCAUUUUCUCACAGGUUAAUCUUGCAGCAAAUUUUGCUGUCAAAGUUUUUGAAAGGCCAGAUCUUUUCUCCCCUCAGGCACUGCAGGCAAAUCUUGAUAAGCAGCUUAAAAAAUUCGGUUCUUCCAUGAAAACCCCAGAAAUCAACAUUUUUGCUCUCAAUGUAAAGAAUUCAUCGAAAACCUCCACCUUCCUGUCACAUCUACAAGUAGGAACUACAGAAUCAGAUAUGACUUGAAGUAUGUAAACUUCACUUCCUAUAAUUUCAUGUGAAUCUACUUUAUAUUAUUUCAAGUCUUUGAUGGAUUUAUAUGGAUUUUCAUGUAUGAAACACAAUAUUGUUGGCUUGUAACAACACUAUAUUUGAUAGAUGAUGAAUCUGUUCACGUACAAUAAUUUUCAGCCAAGCAUGUUUGUCAAAUGGCUUGUGAAGUUAAAGACAACUUCCUCACCUGAAAACAGGUAUAAUUUUGCCAUUUCAAUAAUCUUCAU